AUUGAACGCUGGCGGCAGGCCUAAAACAUGCAAGUCGAACGAGUGGCGGACGGGUGAGUAAUGUAUGGGCAACUGCCUGAUGGAGGGGGAUAACUACUGGAAAAGGUAGCUAAUACCGCAUACCAUCGGAUGUGCCCAGAUGGGAUUAGCUAGUAGGGGGGGUAAAGGAUCACCUAGGCGAAGAGCCCUAGCUGGGCUGAGAGGAUGACCAGCCACACUGGAACUGAGACACGGUCCAGACUCCUACGGGAGGCAGCAGUGGGGAAUAUUGCACAAUGGGCGCAAGCCUGAUGCAGCCAUGCCGCGUGUAUGAAGAAGGCCUUCGGGUUGUAAAGUACUUUCAGCGGGGAGGCGUUACCCGCAGAAGAAGCACCGGCUAACUCCGUGCCAGCAGCCGCGGUAAUUC
rnacentral:rRNA from 1 species